rnacentral:rRNA from 1 species
GACGAACGCUGGCGGCGUGCCUAAUACAUGCAAGUAGAACGCUGAAGGAGGAGCUUGCUUCUCUGGAUGAGUUGCGAACGGGUGAGUAACGCGUAGGUAACCUGCCUUGUAGCGGGGGAUAACUAUUGGAAACGAUAGCUAAUACCGCAUAAUAGUAGAUGUUGCAUGACAUUUGCUUAAAAGUUGCAAUUGCAUCACUACCAGAUGGACCUGCGUUGUAUUAGCUAGUUGGUGGGGUAACGGCUCACCAAGGCGACGAUACAUAGCCGACCUGAGAGUGUGAUCGGCGACACUGGGACUGAGACACGGCCCAGACACCUACGGGAGGCAGCAGUAGGGAAUAUACGGCAAUGGACGGAAGUCUGACCGAGCAACGCAGCGUGAGUGAAGAGGGUUUUCGGAUCGUAAAGCGCUGUUGUAAGAGAAGAGCGAGUGUGAGAGUGGAAAGUUCACAGUGUGACGGUAACUUACCAGAAAGGGACGGCUAAAUACGUG